rnacentral:rRNA from 1 species
UACGGAGGGUGCAAGCGUUAUCCGGAUUCACUGGGUUUAAAGGGUGCGUAGGUGGGCAGUUAAGUCAGUGGUGAAAUCUCCGGGCUUAACCCGGAAACUGCCAUUGAUACUAUCUGUCUUGAAUAUCGUGGAGGUAAGCGGAAUAUGUCAUGUAGCGGUGAAAUGCUUAGAUAUGACAUAGAACACCAAUUGCGAAGGCAGCUUACUAGCCGAAUAUUGACACUGAGGCACGAAAGCGUGGGGAUCAAACAGG